UGAAUCUGGAGGUGUGCAUUUUCAAACUUCUGUACCUCUUGCUUGGAGAGUGGGGAGAAGAGGGAGUGACUGGGGUGAAUCACAUCUUUGAUUAUGCAGAUAGCCUUGCCCAGGCAGCAUGAAGUGUAGAUGGAGUCAAUGGAAGGGAGGUUUGUUUGUGUGAUAGUCUCAGCUGCUUCCUCAAUUUUCUGCAAUUUCUUGCGAUCUUGCAUGGAGAUGUUACAAAACUAUGCUGUGAUGUAUCCCGAUAAAAUUCUUUCUGCAGUGCAUCUGUAGAAGUUGGUGAAAGUUGUUGGGGACAUGCCAAACUUCCACAGCCUUCUAAGGCACUUGUGUACUUUCUUGGCCAUUGUUUUGAUAUAGCUAGUCCAGGACAAGUUGCUGGUGAUAUUUAAAUAUGCACAUUUUUUCACCAGGUCCAUUAUGAAUCUUUGGUAUUCUUGAUCCAAGAGAGUUAUUGAAUAUAUCCAAGUCUUUUAGAUAUUGAGGGAAUGGGGUUAGUGAAGAAAAAUAGCACCAAGAUAGAGGAUUAGAUACGCGGGGAGAAAUAGCUUACUUCUCGUUCUAUUUCUUCAAUUUGUUAAUUGAAAAAUAAUAAAGAACAAUUUCACCAAGUGUCAGAGACAACAUUAUGCGGGAAAGAUAUUUCAAUAUUGGUGAACUUAGGAAUGUUUUCCUGCAGGAGGUAACAAUUGGAAGAGUUUAACAGAAGAACACCAAUAAUUUGUCCAUCUCAGUUGAGCGAUCUAUACUGCUGGUCUAUACUGAUCAGGAAGACCAGGGUUUUGAAUUCUUUGGAGUUUAUUUUUGAAAUGCUGCAUUUAUUGGGGAUUCAAAUGCCACUAUGCCAAGUUGUAAGAUGGAAUUUGAUGAUUUUUUGAGCUAGUACCAGUAAGGUAAUCUUAAAAAGUUAUAGUAAAAAAAAGCACUAACCAAUUCACGACUGUUCGGUACAAAA